UGCGAAUGAGCAGGGGAGAGGAGCAGAGAGAGACAGUCCCUCAAACAGGCUCCAUGCCUAUCUUGGAGCCUAGUGGGGCUCGAUCCCACAACCCUGGGACUAUCACCUGAGCCAAGAAUCAAGAAUCGAACACUCAACCCACUGAGCCACCCAGGUGCCCCUAUUUCUCCUGUUUAAAAACAAGGAAACUGAAGUUCAUAAAGUUUCUGGUCAAAGCUUGCUAGAAGGGUGUGUUGACCCAGCCCUAGGGGACACACAGACGGAAAAACUAAUGCCCACUACACGGAAGGAACUUUGUCUGGAGAAGUCAACUAGGAUUGCCAGGCAAGUGAGAACCACUGCACAGGCCAGAGAAGACAGAAGCUGUCACCAGAAGUCGGGAUGGUCACGCCUAGGGAAUCCCACACGGAUAUUUUAUAUCGUGGGCGCCCAUUUACAAGAGCAGGAUAGGGCGGUGGAGAGGCAGCAAUUUGACUCUGGGGCCGGACCCUGGACUCCAGUCUGAGCUCUAGCAUGACUGCCCUUCAAUCUGGGAAAUUCCUCUUCUCUAGGCCUAUGUCUCCCUACCUAUAAAAGGCAAUUAGAUUAGAAAAUCCUGGAGUUUUGCAAAGAUUGUGCAAACCUCCCUGUAAAACACGACCCCAAGCUCGGUUUUCGUGGCUUUCUCAAAAAGAAAAAUACAGAUUUGUUGUGCAAGUGUCCCAUUUGAAUCCCUUCUACUCCUCAUUAUCUGCUCUAUUUCCCUGUGUAUUUGUCUAGAUUUGUUUGAGAGAAAAAAAAAAAUCCUUGGUUAGAAACAAUCACUCUACACUUGUGAAAUACUGUUUUCAUCCCUGGCGUCUUCCGUUCUUCUUAACAGAAGUCCGAGUGGUAGUCACCGUGCUCUAAUGAGAGAGAUUAUUUCAGAACGUCAGCAUGUCAUCUUGAAGAAGUUUACCGGCUUAAAAAUGGGUCUUGAAGUGUACAGAAGAGGCAUAAUUUGCAUACUUUUGCUUCCUGUAACAGUCUUUUUCCAAAUAACACAUCUGUCCUGUCUCCAUUUGCCUGAAGCAGUGUAGAGAGCAUACUGUCUUUGAAAGAGAGAAUUAAUAACGCAUUAGGCAGCCUUCAUCUGGAAUAACAGUUCAGGUGUAGUCCAGUCAGCAUCUAAUCCAAGAUACUAAUAUCAUAGUCCCUGGGAGGGUGGGCUUCCCAUGUAAAUUGCCAUCGAUUUUGUACUUUAAUUUGACAGUCACUAAUGUAAUGUAUGCUAUGAACAAGGAAGGACCCAGGCUGGAUGAGGCAUAUAAAGAAAACCAACUUCUCUGACAUUCGGUUUCCUCAUCUCUGGAACACUUACCGUUGCAAUAUUUACCUGAAAAAGAAAGAAGGUGGCGCCUUUAAAAUUCCAGUUUCUGGCGUGGUGGAGAUAUUCACUAAACAGUAACCUCGCCGUAGCAGAUGUAAACCCUCGUUGCCCUGAAGGAACUGAAUAGACCUCAGAUCACAUUUCGGCAUUGUAGAAAAUUCAUUCAUUCUGCUCUGUUCUGCUCUCUUUUAUGCUGUUUGUUUUAUUCCUGGAACAAAGAUCCCACAGCUUGUCUUCGAAACACUUCCAUCGCUUCUCAAUUGGACGCAGAUCUCAGACCUCCAGGGUUUGAUUCAUUCAUCUCGAGCUGGAACUCUGUUUUUUCACCCCGGUCCAGAAGACUGGGAGAUUCACUUUAAAAAGAUGCUGCCGCUGCUUUUUUCCACAUCACAAAAGAAUUAAUGUUUGCGCAGCCCUUUGAAGAUGUGGUGUCACGCAUGUGCUAUUAUUAAUAAUAAACUACAGAUCUGCUUCACACCAUCUGAAAAACAGGGCUGUGCCACCAUGAAAGGGCUCUUAUUUCAGCCCGUUCUCCAUUGUGCUUCGCCCGGGUCCCGCUCUGCUUCAGUCUGAGGCUGCUUCCAGAACAUGGGUAAAGAAAGACAGCAGCUGGAGGGAAACAAAACAACCUCUACCACCCAACACAUUAAAAAAAACAACUAAAGUAAAAGAGGCUUGUUUUUUAA